rnacentral:rRNA from 1 species
AUACAGAGGGUGCGAGCGUUAAUCGGAAUUACUGGGCGUAAAGCGCGCGUAGGCGGAUAUUUAAGUCAGAUGUGAAAUCCCUGGGCUCAACCUAGGAACUGCAUUUGUAACUGGAUAUCUAGAGUAUGGUAGAGGUGAGUGGAAUUUCAGGUGUAGCGGUGAAAUGCGUAGAGAUCUGAAGGAACAUCAGUGGCGAAGGCGACUCACUGGGCCAUUACUGACGCUGAGGUGCGAAAGCGUGGGUAGCAAACAGGAUUAGAAACCCCAGUAGUCC